AUAGCUAUUACAGAGUUCAGGUUCAAUGAGUAGACCCAAACAUGAAAGUCAGUUACAGAACUAAAUACUCCUUUGAUAUCCAGAAUUCAUUGUUCAGUGUGAGUUUUGAUAUUUAUAAGAAGAAAUAGA